GGACCAUUAGCUCAGUUGGUUAGAGCAAACGGCUCAUAACCGCUCGGUCACAGGUUCGAGUCCCGUAUGGUCCA
rnacentral:tRNA from 1 species